UGCUUUCCCGAUCGUGCCCAGCUGUGUCUGAUUAUUUUCAACCAGUCCUGUCUUUUUAAGUCCACGUCUUGCCUGCUGCCUUUGUCUGUCAUUGAUGUUAGUUGGCGUCCUAUGGUUCCCUUUCCCAGUCCCUUGAUUAAACCCCUAGUUUUUCCCCGUAUUUGCCUGUCUGCCUGCUCAUUCCACGCCUGCCCGCACGAUCGCCGCUUCCCGCGAACGCGAUCGUGACAGACGGUUUGCUGUUUUAGCGCCAUUUUCUCGGUGCGCUUAAGUACCCUUGAAUGAAACGGAGCGCAGGGACAUUGGUCAUAAGCUUAAUUUUCCAGUAUCCUGAUUGGCUGUAAAGUCCGCCAAGACGUCCUGAAACUACAGUUUGCUCUCAUUCUAUCUUAGUCGCAUGACUGGAGCGGUGGUGGUCUUGCCCGGGUUGGGAACCGCCCCGGAGGUCGUGUUUUUGUUAUUCGCCUGCCCCGCUCUUUUUGGAGAAAGCAUGGUCAUGGAGCAUGUGGGGAACGAGGCCGCAGUGAUCCGCGCAGAAUAAAUCCUGGGGCUUUCGUGUAAGCCAUUCUGAAGGGAGCGGACCGUACGAGGGGAGACGCGCGAUACUGAAAUUGCACAGAAGUAACCCACACACCAUAUAAGCUAUGUUCAAAAUUGUGGAGUUUAAGGAGACAAAUGAGGUAGAACUGGUCCCUGGUGUGUGGGUGAAAGAUGGUGUCUGCCACUGGCCCCCCUAUAAAGGAAAGCAGUUGGAUUCAUCAAUGAAGCAUCAGGUCACUCCAGAGCACAGCUGGAUACAGUGGGAAGUCAGAGUGAUGUUUAUAACAGAGAGUUAUGAGGAAGGGAGACGGAAAUUACGGGAAGCUGAACAGCGUUCUGACCUCCAGUCAGAAGCUGAAGGGUCUGGGAAAAAGAAAAGGAGAAAAAUGCCAAGUAGCAGACUUCUAGAUGCCACUAAUGGUGCUUCAAGUGAGAGUGAAGAAGAAGCAGGACUGCAGCAGAGUGACAGACGUCUACCUGAGGCCCCACCAACCAGCCAAGUUAAAAUUAACACCAUUGCAGACUGCUAAUACUGGAAGUCAAAGUACUUUUCCCUGGAAUCCACCCCUCCCUCUGGAAAUGAUGUGGCAACCUACUGAUGCCCUACAUGGAGAGCAUGAGCUAAACAAAAACCGUGCAGACUUGUUUUCCUCACCACCACCACCUCAUCCAGAGCCUUCAAAAGUUCAGAAGUCCUGGAUACCAUCUGAAGUUAAUCAGUUUCACCAAGACCAUUCAAAAACUUGACACCACCAUCACAGCUACAAAGGACUCUUGCUGAAG